rnacentral:rRNA from 1 species
CCAGACUCCUACGGGAGGCAGCAGUGAGGAAUAUUGGUCAAUGGGCGCGAGCCUGAACCAGCCAAGUCGCGUGAGGGAAGACGGUCCUAUGGAUUGUAAACCUCUUUUGUCGGGGAGCAAAAGACGCCACGCGUGGCGUUCCGAGAGUACCCGAAGAAAAAGCAUCGGCUAACUCCGUGCCAGCAGCCGCGGUAAUACGGAGGAUGCGAGCGUUAUCCGGAUUUAUUGGGUUUAAAGGGUGCGUAGGCGGAAUAUCAAGUCAGCGGUAAAAAUUCGGGGCUCAACCCCGUCGUGCCGUUGAAACUGAUGUUCUUGAGUGGGCGAGAAGUAUGCGGAAUGCGUGGUGUAGCGGUGAAAUGCAUAGAUAUCACGCAGAACUCCGAUUGCGAAGGCAGCAUACCGGCGCCCAACUGACGCUGAAGCACGAAAGCGUGGGUAUCGAACAGGAUUAGAUACCCGAGUA